UCUGGCAAUGAUGACACACUUGCCCUCACUGAGAAUAUUGUUCUACCGUGAGGAUGUCACUUGUUCACGACCUGAGCCAGC